rnacentral:rRNA from 1 species
UAAUACUCCAUAGGUCACGAGAUCUGGAAAGACUUGUGGCUCAAAGGUCAGGCGCUCUAGGAUUGGUCUGCGGCCUAUCAGGUAGUAGUGGGUGUAACGGACCCACUAGCCGAUGACGGGUAUGGGCCUUGAGAGAGGGAGCCCAGAGAUGGAUUGUGAGACACGAAUCCAGGCCCUACGGGGCGCAGCAGUCGCGAAAACUUCACAAUGGAGGCAACUCCGAUGAGGGAAUUCCUAGUGCCAAUGCAUUUUGUGUUGGCUUUUCUUCAGCGUAGAUAACUGAUGGAAUAAGGGCUGGGUAAGACGGGUGCCAGCCGCCGCGGUAAUACCCGCAGCCCAAGUGGUGGUCGAUAUUAUUGAGUCUAAAACGUUCGUAGCCGGUUCAAUAAAUCUCUGGGUAAAUCGGAGGGCUCAACCUUCCGAAUUCCGGAGCGACUGUUGAACUUGGGACCGGGAGAGGCAAGAGGUACUUCUGGGGUAGGGGUAAAAUCCUGUAAUCCUAGAAGGACCACCGGUGGCGAAGGCGUCUUGCUAGAACGGAUCCGACGGUGAGGGACGAAGCCCUGGGUCGCAAACGGGAUUAGAUACCCCGGUAGUCCAGGGUGUAAACGCUGCAGACUUGGUGU